GCGAGAAAGGGGCUUCGGCCCUGAGUAAAGCGGCGGACGGGUGAGUAACACGUAGGUAAUCUUCCCUUGAGCGGGGGACAACGAGCCGAAAGGCUCGCUAAUACCGCAUACGUUUCUCGGGACUCUGGUUCCGGGAAGGAAAGCUAGGCCGCAAGGUCCGGCACUCGAGGAGGAGCCUGCGUCGCAUCAGCUAGUUGGUGGGGUAACGGCCUACCAAGGCGAAGACGCGUAGCUGGUCUGAGUGGAUGAUCAGCCACACUGGGACUGAGACACGGCCCAGACUCCUACGGGAGGCAGCAGUGGGGAAUAUUGGACAAUGGGCGCAAGCCUGAUCCAGCCACGCCGCGUGAGUGAUGAGGGCCUUCGGGUCGUAAAGCUCUGUGGGGAGGGACGAACCGCUGCUGGUUCAUAGCCAGCAGCAUGACGGUACCUCCUUAGCAAGCACCGGCUAACUUCGUGCCAGCAGCCGCGGUAAUACGAAGGGUGCAAACGUUG
rnacentral:rRNA from 1 species